CCUACGGGUGGCAGCAGUGAGGAAUAUUGGUCAAUGGGCGGAAGCCUGAACCAGCCAAGUCGCGUGCGGGAAUAAGGCCCUACGGGUCGUAAACCUCUUUUGCAGGGGAGCAAGGGCCGGGACGAGUCCCGGUCCGGAGAGUACCCGGAGCAAAAGCAUCGGCUAACUCCGUGCCAGCAGCCGCGGUAAUACGGAGGAUGCGAGCGUUAUCCGGAUUUAUUGGGUUUAAAGGGUGCGUAGGCGUGCUAUUAAGUCAGCGGUAAAAAUUCGGGGCUCAACCCCGUCCUGCCGGUGAAACUGGGGGCCUUGAGUGGGCGAGAAGAAGGCGGAAUGCGUGGUGGAGCGGUGAAAGGCUUAGAUAUCACGAAGAACUCCGAUUGCGAAGGCAGCUUACUAAACUGCCACUGACAUUGAUGCUCGAAAGUGUGGGUAUCAAACAGGAUUAGAUACCCGGGUAGUC
rnacentral:rRNA from 1 species